GCACUCUUAGUGUAGUGGUAACAUGCUCCCCUCUCUUGAUUGGGAGCGUCCGGGGUUCGAUUCCCCGAGGGUGCC